rnacentral:rRNA from 1 species
UACGAAGGGGGCUAGCGUUGCUCGGAAUCACUGGGCGUAAAGGGCGCGUAGGCGGAUCUUUAAGUCGGGGGUGAAAGCCUGAGGCUCAACCUCAGAAUUGCCUUCGAUACUGGAGAUCUUGAGACCGGAAGAGGUAAGUGGAACUGCGAGUGUAGAGGUGAAAUUCGUAGAUAUUCGCAAGAACACCAGUGGCGAAGGCGGCUUACUGGUCCGGUUCUGACGCUGAGGCGCGAAAAGCGUGGGGAGCAGAGAG